AAUACAGGGGUCUCAAGCGUUGUUCGGAUUCAUUGGGCGUAAAGGGUGCGUAGGCGGCGCGGUAAGUCGGGUGUGAAAUCUCGAGGCUUAACUCCGAAACUGCAUUCGAUACUGCCGUGCUUGAGGACUGGAGAGGAGACUGGAAUUUACGGUGUAGCGGUGAAAUGCGUAGAUAUCGUAAGGAAGACCAGUGGCGAAGGCGGGUCUCUGGACAGUUCCUGACGCUGAGGCACGAAGGUCAGGGGAGCAAGCGG
rnacentral:rRNA from 1 species